rnacentral:rRNA from 1 species
UGUUGUUAGUUGCCAGCAUGUAAUGAUGGGACUCUAACAAGACUGCCGGUGUAAACCGCGAGGAAGGUGGGGAUGACGUCAAAUCAUCACGGCCCUUACGUCCUGGGCUACACACGUGCUACAAUGGUAUGGACAAUGAGCAGCCACUAUGCGAUAGGAGCGAAUCUAUAAACCAUAUCACAGUUCGGAUCGGAGUCUGCAACUCGACUCCGUGAAGCUGGAAUCGCUAGCAAUCGGAUAUCAGCCAUGAUCCGGUGAAUACGUUC